GUGCCAGCCGCCGCGGUAAUACAGAGGUCUCAAGCGUUGUUCGGAUUCAUUGGGCGUAAAGGGUGCGUAGGUGGCUUGUUAAGUUGAAGGUGAAAUCUCGGAGCUCAACUCUGAAACUGCCUUCAAUACUGGCGAGCUCGAGGACUGUAGAGGAGAAUGGAAUUCACGGUGUAGCAGUGAAAUGCGUAGAUAUCGUGAGGAAGACCAGUGGCGAAGGCGAUUCUCUGGGCAGUUCCUGACACUGAGGCACGAAGGCCAGGGGAGCAAACGGGAUUAGAUACCCCGGUAGUCCUGGCAGUAAACGGUGCACGUUUGGUGUGGAGGAUUCGACCCCUUCCGUGCCGGAGCUAACGCGUUAAACGUGCCGCCUGGGAAGUACGGUCGCAAGAUUAAAACUCAAAGAAAUUGACGGGGCCCGCACAAGCGGUGGAGUAUGUGGCUUAAUUCGAUGCAACGCGAAGAACCUUACCUGGCCUUGACAUGUAUCGU
rnacentral:rRNA from 1 species